UGAGUGAUGGUAGGAAAAAAGAAAAACAACUUGACUUAUCUUGCACAAUCACUGCAAUGUUUUCCAAAACCAACUUGUCAGUGCAGUACUGGAGUAAAGUUACCAGCAUGACCCUCAAUGCAUUAGUAAAUCACAACAAACUCCAACAGCAAACCCUACCAGAGUCAGAAUUAAAAGCCAGUCAUUGAUAAUAUCUCAACGCUAAGUACUUUAGACGACAAGCCCCAUUAGAAAGACAACAUCAAGAUCAAAACCCAGUAAAUCUCUCUUUAUUAUAUAUUUCAAUUGUAUUCAUUUAAUAUGCAUUGCUUUUUGCAACAAGCAAAGAACACAAAGAUGAAAGUGGGAAGGUGAUGACUGAGCAGAUGUGAAUAAGUACCACUGGAGUAAAGAAAAUCAGUCUUUUGAAUAUGAUCAGAUCACAGUUAACCACAUACUGUACAUCAUAACAGCACCGAAUACCUUCACAAUCUUCUCAAUCACUGACAAAACACACGGACAAAAAAUGCUGCAUUUGGAAUCAAAAGUGCUGAUAUCAAACCAUGACCGUAUAAGCAUACAAGCAUGAUGAGCUAGACGACACGCAAAGAAGCAAAGCCUAAAUGUUUAGUGUCUUCAUGAUCACACACGUGCACACACACACACACACACACACACACACACAGAUCCAGCUCCAACACAAAAGCUUUUCGGUUUGUUUUCUUCACUUGGAGGGUAAGAAAGACUUCAGAAAAAUAUAGCAGUCACAGGAUCAUAAAGGAAAUAAAAGCAGUUACUUAAAGAAAGACCUUAUGCAGGAUAGUGUUCAACUGAAACAACAUACACAUAGAACAUAAAUAGGGCCUAAAAAAAAACAAUAAUACAUAUUUAUGCACAGUAACAAAAAA